rnacentral:rRNA from 1 species
CUACGGGCCGCAGCAGUGGGGAAUAUUGGACAAUGGGCGAAAGCCUGAUCCAGCAAUGCCGCGUGAGUGAUGAAGGCCUUAGGGUUGUAAAGCUCUUUUACCAGGGAUGAUAAUGACAGUACCUGGAGAAUAAGCUCCGGCUAACUCCGUGCCAGCAGCCGCGGUAAUACGGAGGGAGCUAGCGUUGUUCGGAAUUACUGGGCGUAAAGCGCACGUAGGCGGCUAUUCAAGUCGGGGGUGAAAGCCCGGGGCUCAACCCCGGAACUGCCCUCGAAACUAGGUAGCUAGAAUCUUGGAGAGGCGAGUGGAAUUCCGAGUGUAGAGGUGAAAUUCGUAGAUAUUCGGAAGAACACCAGUGGCGAAGGCGACUCGCUGGACAAGUAUUGACGCUGAGGUGCGAAAGCGUGGGGAGCAAACAGGAUUAGAUACCCCAGUAGUC